UACGUAGGGGGCAAGCGUUGUCCGGAUUUACUGGGCGUAAAGAGCUUGUAGGCGGUUUGUCGCGUCUGCCGUGAAAAUCCGGGGCUCAACCCCGGACUUGCGGUGGGUACGGGCAGACUAGAGUGUGGUAGGGGAGACUGGAAUUCCUGGUGUAGCGGUGAAAUGCGCAGAUAUCAGGAGGAACACCGAUGGCGAAGGCAGGUCUCUGGGCCACUACUGACGCUGAGAAGCGAAAGCGUGGGGAGCGAACAGG
rnacentral:rRNA from 1 species